UUGAACUGAAGAGUUUGAUCCUGGCUCAGAUUGAACGCUGGCGGCAUGCCUUACACAUGCAAGUCGAACGGCAGCACGGGUGCUUGCACCUGGUGGCGAGUGGCGAACGGGUGAGUAAUACAUCGGAACAUGUCCUGUAGUGGGGGAUAGCCCGGCGAAAGCCGGAUUAAUACCGCAUACGAUCCAUGGAUGAAAGCGGGGGACCUUCGGGCCUCGCGCUAUAGGGUUGGCCGAUGGCUGAUUAGCUAGUUGGUGGGGUAAAGGCCCACCAAGGCGACGAUC
rnacentral:rRNA from 3 species